rnacentral:rRNA from 2 species
UGGGGGAUAUUGCACAAUGGACGAAAGUCUGAUGCAGCGACGUCGUGUGGGGGAUGAAGGCCUUCGGGUUGUAAACUCCUUUCGCCCGCGGAAAAGGCAGGGUUUUGGCCUUGUUGAUGGUAGUGGGUAAAGAAGCGCCGGCUAACUACGUGCCAGCAGCCGCGGUAAUACGUAGGGCGCGAGCGUUGUCCGGAAUUAUUGGGCGUAAAGGGCUCGUAGGCGGUUUGUCGCGUCUAGCGUUUAAGGCUCGGGCUUAACCCGGGUUUGCGUUGGGUACGGGCAGGCUUGAGUGCGGUAGGGGUAACUGGAAUUCCUGGUGUAGCGGUGGAAUGCGCAGAUAUCAGGAGGAACACCGGUGGCGAAGGCGGGUUACUGGGCCGUUACUGACGCUGAGGAGCGAGAGCGUGGGGAGCGAACAGG